GGGACCAUAGCUCAGUGGUAAAGCAUCUGCCUUGUGUGCAGAAGAUCACAGGUUCAAAUCCCAGCAUUUCCA